rnacentral:pre_miRNA from 2 species
UGGCAGUGUUGUUAGCUGGCCGCUAGGAGUCGCUCUUUAGGCCCUCUAUCAACGCUGCCCUA